UACGUAGGGUGCGAGCGUUAAUCGGAAUUACUGGGCGUAAAGCGUGCGCAGGCGGUCUGUUAAGACCGAUGUGAAAUCCCCGGGCUUAACCUGGGAACUGCAUUGGUGACUGGCAGGCUUUGAGUGUGGCAGAGGGAGGUAGAAUUCCACGUGUAGCAGUGAAAUGCGUAGAGAUGUGGAGGAAUACCGAUGGCGAAGGCAGCCUCCUGGGCCAACACUGACGCUCAUGCACAAAGCGUGGGGGAGCAA
rnacentral:rRNA from 1 species